GCUUCAGCGCCGAAAUUAGGGUUCACUUCAUCUCCGAAAACCUAAAAUGAUCUUCUGCGUUCUCUGAACAUCAACAAUGGAGUCUCUAGAGUUUGGGUGACUUGAAUCGACGCGAAGAAUCUCUAUGUCGAUCUUAUGUCACGUCGUUUGGUAUCUAAAUCAACAGAAACACUCCAAGAUACAGAUUCAUCGCAUUUAUGUUUUUCAAUCAUGCCGCCCAACUACAUGGCUAUGGCAAUGGCGAACUCCAGAUCCUGUUCUGAGUUGAAGUCUGGUUGUUAUAUUGAGGCAGGUGGGAUGCAUCUUCUUUAUUUUUAGAAGAUUCUUAAUGUGAAAAAGGAGGGGAGCUCAUGAGUGUUGACCUGAGGAUAGAUCUUGCUGAGCUGCCUCAUUUUGUGUGAAGAGCUAUUAAACAAAUGCUUACUAAUAAAUGAGAGAUACAGAGGGAAAAUCAUCAAGCAUGGCUUCACAUCUUUUACAUCUUCCAACAUCUUAUUCAAGUGCAAGGAAUAUGUGGAGGCAGAGCGAUUUCUGAGAACAUCAUGGAGAAGUCAGUUGCUUCAGAAGAUCCGUCAUAACCUUCCCAAUGCAGUUACUCCUUCUCAACUGAACCGUUAUGAGGAAGUAGUAAUAAAGGCUCUAGGAAUCCGUGAGAAGUCAUUUGGUAUAUAGAGCUUUCCUCUCUCUCCAUACCAUCAUCGUUAUAAUCAAUGUUUAUAAUCUUUUUGUCAUCUAAACAUGAUUCAAUAAUGACUUUUGUGGAAAACUGACGUCUCUGGACAAGUGAGGUGGCGCCGAUUCAUUAGGUAUAGACAAUGAGGAAGUACUCGGUUUUCUGAACAUGGCGUUGUUGAUCCAAGAAAGAUAGUUGGGUUCAUCACAUAAAAAAUAAUUGUUACUCCAGAAGAUUGUUCAUCUUAAGUGUGAUAAAUUUAAGUAUACGAGAAGACUGCCUUUGCUAGAGUGAGAUUAGAGAUACAAGUAGAAUCUUAGACUUUUGAACAUAUUUUAUUACUCUGAUCUUUCUUAAAUGGCGGAAAGAUUGGUAUGGUCAAGGUCAGUGAUGUUGAAAAGUUCUUUUUUUUUGUUCUGGUUUAUACACUUAUACAACAUCCUGCUUAUAUUUGUGAACUUGAACUGCUGCAACUGCGUGUGAUAUACAGAUAGAA